rnacentral:rRNA from 1 species
UACGUAGGGGGCAAGCGUUGUCCGGAUUUAUUGGGCGUAAAGAGCUCGUAGGCGGCUUGGUAAGUCGGAUGUGAAACCUCCAGGCUCAACCUGGAGUCGCCAUCCGAUACUGCCAUGGCUAGAGUCCGGUAGGGGCCCACGGAAUUCCUGGUGGAGCGGUGAAAUGCGCAGAUAUCAUUUGGAACGCCAAUGGUGAAAACAGGUCGCUGGGAGUGUGCUGACGCUGAGACACGAAAGCCAGGGGAGCAAACGGG